rnacentral:sRNA from 1 species
AUAUUAAAUCCAUGUUAGCCUGGCCGCUGCCGCCCUGGAACCAUCGCUCUUCGAUUUGUUUCGACACACACUACUCGAAAUUUGCAGGAUGCUAUGGUGAUAUUUUCUACGAUCUAAACAAAUUAACUAUUUAAUGUUAGUAGUUUGUGUUAUAUAAAGCUACGCAUGUUAGGAGUAAAGUAAUUUAUUAUUUGUUCUUAGCCCUUGGUUUAUAAAUCCCAACUUUAAAAUUCCAAGUAGAUGUGUCUGUUAAUCGAUUGCAUUUGGGAUGGAAAUGGUUUUGAAUGAUUUGGAUUUUCAUUAAUUUUAAUUCAUCUGCUAAUCAUAGUUUCAUGUAUUAGAUAGUUGCUUUGCUCUCACAAAUUUUGUUGGUAGGGGUUCAGCAAAGCUUUCUAGGGCUAAAUCUUCAGUUUGCUGUUGGGACCUUGGUAACUUGAUUGAAUAGGAAUUUUGUGAUUAGGAAUUUGUGGGUUUACCUCCGAAUUUAAUCCCUUUCUUAAGAGGGAUCUAGCCGUAACACACAGCAGCAAUGGGGGAAGAGAAGCGGCACCAGGUUCGGCGAUCAAUCUGGAGAGGAAGAGGUCAAUUUUGAGCACAAGUCCAAUCCCCGGCCCAAUUCUUUGUUUAGGCCAGGACUUGGUGCGAUGGCAAGUGCUUUCGCCCAUGAGCGGUAGGUCUCGGGUUCGAGACUUGGGAGCAGCCUCUCCAUAAAUGGGGGUAAGGCUAGCCGACAUUCACCUCUCUCAGACCCUACGUAAAGCGGGAGCCUUGUGCACUGGGUAAUAAAGGUGGUCCAACUAGUAGCUGAUAAAAUGUCUUUAUAUAUAUGCUUUUGUUGAUUUCUGCUGCGAUAAUGAGGGAAUCUAGAGGAUCAAGGCCAGUCAAUCUGAGCACAGUCGGACUACAUAAUCCUACCAUUGGGCUAUUUCUAUAGAGGGUUUAUGUUGACUUUUGUUGGCCUGUUGACAGUCUGGUAGGUCUAUCAUAUUGAUGGAACUAAAUUGUGAGUUAGUUAUGGUUUAGAUUGUUGAAUUUUGAAUUCGCAAUUCCCUUUGAAACUGUCACAAGCGAUGUGUCUGUUGUGGCUACAGGAAUCAAAAGCGAGUGAAAGAAUUGUAUAAUCCUUUUGAAGCAGUGGGGAGCCGCGGUUCGAUUUUGGUAGGAUUGGCAUGUGGUUGUUCACGCCUUUACGGCCACUUUGUGUCUGGCAAAGAUACCUUCGUUAAGUAAUUUGAGAAGCAUGGGGAGAUAAUAGACUAAUCAAAGAGAUGCAUGUGAUCAACGAUAAAUAGGUGACCCUCCGACAGCCACGGAAACGACAACCCACUUCUGAGAUCGGAAGCUAGCGUAUGGAGACGGCGUGUCGGAGAUUGUCUUGACGGCGGAUUCGAGCUGUGGCAUCUGAAUCUUCUUGAAACCCGUAUCUGGCUGACUUGCAGAGCCACCAUCGCAAAGAAGAAAAUCUGAAAAGCUCAAACCUUAUCUUUUUCUCCUAUAACGAUGUUGUUUUAGUGAAUUGCUUUAAGUUUGUGUACUUUUAAGUUUUAUGUAG